AUUCCAGCUCCAAUAGCGUAUAUUAAAGUUGUUGCAGUUAAAAAGCUCGUAGUUGGAUUUCUGGCGGGAUGAACACGCCCUCAGCUGAGUGUACAUGAGCGUCUCACCAUCCUUCUGUUAACCCUUAAGGUUUUAACGACCUUCUGGGGGCUCAGACAUUUUACCUUGAGAAAAUUAGAGUGUUUCAGGCAGGCUAGCGCCGGGAUACAUUAGCAUGGAAUAAUGGAAUAGGACUUUUUCCUCUUCUGUUGGUCUGAGGGGUUCGAGUAAUGAUUAAUAGGGAUAGUUGGGGGCAUUAGUACUUUGCUGUCAGAGGUGAAAUUCUCGGAUUUGCAAAAGACUAACUUAUGCGAAAGCAUUUGCCAAGGAUGUUUUCAUCA
rnacentral:rRNA from 1 species